rfam:Biomphalaria glabrata isolate BB02 unplaced genomic scaffold LGTN_random_Scaffold1333, whole genome shotgun sequence.
GUUUCCGUAGUGUAGUGGUCAUCACAUCUGCCUAACACGCAGAAGGUCCUGGGUUCGAAACCCAGCGGAAACA